ensembl:lncRNA
GGGUGUCGGUAAUUAUUACUGAAGAACUUUUGGCACCUGAAAGAUGGAAACAGAUGAACUGAGGCUGGGAAUGAACAGAAAGAGCCCACAGAAAAUGUCUCUGUGAAUUUGCCUGGAAAGACGUCUAGGAGCAAGAUCUUUGGCUGCCAGGAUAGAGGGUCCAGAUUUGGCCAAAGACACACUGAGUGCGGUGGCAUCUGGGGAUCUGUCCUAUUGCGUAAGCUUCAUCUGAGUGGCAUGUCCUCACAGGUCCAUGGGAUCUGGAGACCCAGCAUAGGGAUCGUCAGAAACCCAAAGCCUUGUGCCAGAAGAGGAAGACCACGGUGCAAAGGGCAUGAUGGAGAAGAUGCUACUUCCUUAUUCUGAUGCGGCACGCCCAUUUUGCCUGCUUCCUUCUUGACCAUGAAGAAGACGACCUCUGUUUCCCUCACCUACCUGGCAGUUGGAAGAAUGGAAGGAAAAUAAUAAAAUGUGGAGUUAUGAAUUCUAUCCAAAUGUCAUUAAGAGCCCAAGGAGGUCCGUGGUGCUGUGGAUCUAAGCUACUUUGUCCUGGGAGCCGCCCCCUUCAGGUCAGCCUUGCAGGCAGUGGACAGGAAACUUAAUUUGAGAUGGAUCAUAGACCUACAUAUGAAAGCUGCAAUCAGAUGCAUAGAAACAAAAAAACAGAAUAUUUUCCCCAUGAUCAUGCAGUAGGCAAAAUUUUUUUAGACAAGACCAAAAGUUACUAACCAUAAAAACACAAUAAAUUAUACUUCACCAAAAAGUUUCUUCUAAUCAAGAGAUACCAUCAAGAAAAUGAAGAGGAUAGUCUACAAAAUUAAUUGUACAUGCUCUUCGAUAACAUAUAGACUGACAGAUGGGAAGACAGGCAAGGAGACCGAGGGACUGUUUCGGAUUAAAGAAGUCUAACAAUAAAUGACAACUAAAGGCAACGUGAUUUUGGUUUGGAUCCUUGACUCCAGCAAUUUUUCUGUCAAGGAUGUCAUGAAACAACCAAUGAACUCUGAACAAGACUGUAGUUUAAUAAUAAUUGUGUUAAUAAUAGUUGUGUGUCACUGUUAAUUUACUGAUCUUGAUAACUGUACUGUGAUUAAGAGGAUGUUCUUG